rnacentral:lncRNA from 1 species
GCCAUGCUCGCAAGAAAGAGCUCCCCGACGGUCGCCCAAAAGGUGUUUGAUGAAAUGCCUCAUAAAAAUAGUGAUGUGAAGAAGAUGACCAUUGACUCAUUGACAGGUGGGACCCAUACUUGCCACAUCUGUUAGCCAAACUUUUUGGUCUUUGCCACGUCAUCCCAACAGGUGGGGCCUCCUUGUCGGGUUCGCUCUUUUCGCGAGCAAAUCCGAGCAUCAGUGUUGUGCGUUACUGAUUAGGCAUAAAGUUGAUGUUUUUUUACCCUCGCAUAAAUGUGGUACUGAAUUGUUACCCUAGCCUCAAGUGUGGUGGUU